rnacentral:ncRNA from 1 species
AGCGGGAAGCUCUUCCUAAGAUGAGAAACCCAUGGUCGCCGCAAGGCGACCGAAAGAUCCGUGGAAGACUACCACGUUAAUAGACGAGAGGUGUAAGCAUUGCAAGAUGUUUAGCCUACUCGCACUAAUGAUCGAAGAAUAAAUCAA